rnacentral:rRNA from 1 species
AAAAACUCCGGUGGUAUACGAUGGAUCCGCGUCUGAUUAGCUUGUUGGCGGGGUAAAGGCCCACCAAGGCGACGAUCAGUAGCCGGCCUGAGAGGGUGAACGGCCACAUUGGGACUGAGACACGGCCCAAACUCCUACGGGAGGCAGCAGUGGGGAAUAUUGCACAAUGGGGGAAACCCUGAUGCAGCGACGCCGCGUGAGUGAAGAAGUAUUUCGGUACGUAAAGCUCUAUCAGCAGGGAAGAAAAUGACGGUACCUGACUAAGAAGCCCCGGCUAACUACGUGCCAGCAGCCGCGGUAAUACGUAGGGGGCAAGCGUUAUCCGGAUUUACUGGGUGUAAAGGGAGCGUAGACGGCAGCGCAAGUCUGGAGUGAAAUCCCAUGGCUUAACCAUGGAACUGCUUUGGAAACUGUGCAGCUGGAGUGCAGGAGAGGUAAGCGGAAUUCCUAGUGUAGCGGUGAAAUGCGUAGAUAUUAGGAGGAACACCAGUGGCGAAGGCGGCUUACUGGACUGUAACUGACGUUGAGGCUCGAAAGCGUGGGGAGCAAACAGGAUUAGAUACCCUGGUAGUCCACGCUGUAAACGAUGAUUACUAGGUGUUGGGGGACCAAGGUCCUUCG